rnacentral:misc_RNA from 1 species
UUUCCGUAGGUGAACCUGCGGAAGGAUCAUUACCACACCAAAAACAAGAACUAUUAGUAGUGGCUUCGGCCGCGACUAUCUACCUGUGGAUUUUCAACCAACCUGCUCUGGGGGAUUCGUUUCCCGGCAGCUUUCCGAGUCGUUCGUUCUUUCGAUCGAUCGGCUCGGGAAAUUCACUUUUUAAAGCCGCUUGGCUUUAUUUUUCCAAUUCAACCAAAACAAAACUGAUCGAGCUGUCGUUCCUCGUUUAUUCGAAGAAUGGCAAGAGCAUGAAUAAUGCUUAUACACUUUCAGCAACGGAUGUCUUGGCUCCC